CAGUGGGGAAUAUUGCACAAUGGGCGAAAGCCUGAUGCAGCGACGCCGCGUGAGGGAUGACGGCCUUCGGGUUGUAAACCUCUUUCAGCAGGGAAGAAGCGAAAGUGACGGUACCUGCAGAAGAAGCGCCGGCUAACUACGUGCCAGCAGCCGCGGUAAUACGUAGGGCGCAAGCGUUGUCCGGAAUUAUUGGGCGUAAAGAGCUCGUAGGCGGCUUGUCACGUCGGUUGUGAAAGCCCGGGGCUUAACCCCGGGUCUGCAGUCGAUACGGGCAGGCUAGAGUUCGGUAGGGGAGAUCGGAAUUCCUGGUGUAGCGGUGAAAUGCGCAGAUAUCAGGAGGAACACCGGUGGCGAAGGCGGAUCUCUGGGCCGAUACUGACGCUGAGGAGCGAAAGCGUGGGGAGCGAACAGGAUUAGA
rnacentral:rRNA from 1 species